UGCCAGCCGCCGCGGUAAUACGGGGGAUGCAAGCGUUAUCCGGAAUCAUUGGGCGUAAAGCGCCUGUAGGUUGUUUAAUAAGUCUGUUGUUAAAGACUAGGGCUUAACCCUAGAGAAGCAAUGGAAACUACUAAACUAGAGUAUGGCAGGGGUAGAGGGAAUUUCUAGUGUAGCGGUGAAAUGCGUAGAUAUUAGAAAGAACACCGGUGGCGAAAGCGCUCUACUGGACCAUUAUUGACGCUGAGAUGCGAAAGCGUGGGGAGCAAACAGGAUUAGAUA
rnacentral:rRNA from 1 species